CCCAUAUGCCCAAAUAGUUCACAACAGGAUAACCAAUUCACACAAGUCAGUUAAAAGCUCAAUUCAAAAUAAUGUAUGAUUCAAAUCACAACUAUUGAACUAAUGCUCAAACAAAUUAACACUUCAAACCAGUUGGACUACGGAAUUAAAACAAACGGGACUAAGACCUCUUUCUUACGAUCAUUGGAAACGGUUUCAUGAUUUGCAUUCACUCAGCACACA
rnacentral:lncRNA from 1 species